ACAUUCUUUCAGAUGCCAGAGGAUGCUAUAGAAAAAUGCGUGCCCUCUUGUAAUACUUUGUUCAAGUUCUGAUCAGAAGGAUGAAUGAUGGAGCCCAAGAAGCCAGAGUCUCAUUGUGUUGCUCAGGCUGGAAUCCAGUGGCAUGAUCUCGGCUCAGUGCAACCUCCGCCUCCUGGGUUCAAGCAGUUCUCCUACAUCAGCAUCAGCGUUCCGAGUAGCUGGGAUUACAGGCACCCGCCACCAUGCCUGGCUAAUGUUGGUCAGGCUGGCUCGAACUCCUGACCUCAAGAGAUCCACCUGCUUUGGCCUCCCAAAGUGCUCGGAUUACAGGCAUGAGCUGCCACACCCAGCCUCCAAAUACUUUUUUUUAAAAUCAAAAUAAUGAUUUCAAUGACUGAGAUCUGUUAUGUAUUUCAACAUAAUCAUGUUUCAUAAAGAUUUAGUCUUCUGAAA
rnacentral:lncRNA from 1 species